UCAGCAGCCGCGGUAAGACGUAGGGGGCGAGCGUUGUCCGGAAUUACUGGGCGUAAAGAGCACGUAGGCGGAGAUUUAAGUCAGGUGUGAAAGAUCGGGGCUCAACCCCGAAAUUGCAUUUGAAACUGGGUCCCUUGAGGGCAGGAGAGGAAAGCAGAAUUCCUGGUGUAGCGGUGAAAUGCGUAGAAAUCAGGAGGAAUACCAGUGGCGAAGGCGGCUUUCUGGACUGACCCUGACGCUGAGGUGCGAAAGCGUGGGUAGCAAACAGGAUUAGAUACCCUGGUAGUCCACGCUGUAAACGAUGGAUACUAGGUGUGGGAGGUAUCGACCCCUUCCGUGCCGCAGCUAACGCAAUAAGUAUCCCGCCUGGGGAGUACGAUCGCAAGGUUGAAACUCAAAGGAAUUGACGGGGGCCCGCACA
rnacentral:rRNA from 1 species